AUGAUCCUGAUGAUGAUAUCAUUUCUUGAAUAUUAUUUCUGUGUGCUUUACAUGUAUCAACUUAUUCAACACACUCAUUGCCAUGCGUACACAAACCUUAUGACAAUUGUAGUACCUUCACCUCUAUCUUUGCAGGUGAGGAAAUUGAGGCACUCAGAGUUGAAACAACUUGUCCGUAGUCACAACUUAGUGAGUGGCUGCGCAGGGUUUGAACAGAGGCACUCAGGGAAAGCAAGAGCUGGAUACAACAUUCUUCGGAGGCGUCCAAAUAUCCCAUCUCGGCUCCUUGUCUGCUGCCUGCUGUUGUCCUGCUGAAAGAGAGAGAGAGAGAGAGAGAGCCUGCAUGACAUUCUUAACACCUGCUCUGCCACCCACUUUCCAGCCUCCUUUGGAAGUCAAGAACUGGGUUCUGAGACCUUCGGUCAGGUGAGCACUGUCCAGGGCUUAGCCAUGUGCAUGUGUGUAUAUGUAUGCAUGUAUGUAUACAUGUGUGUGUAUAUGUGUAGUGUGUGUAUGUAUUUGAGCAUGUAUGUGAGAUCAUAUGCGCAAACUUAAGGGCCAGUGCUUAUGUAGGAGGGUUUCUUUUUCCUCUUUCCAAUACUCCUUUGGAAGCCUUGGGAUCUCUAUUUCAGUCUUCUUCCACACUCAUAUAAGUUAGUAAAAAUCUAAAAUGUAG
rnacentral:lncRNA from 12 species